rnacentral:rRNA from 1 species
UACGGGGGGGCAAGCGUUGUUCGGAAUUACUGGGCGUAAAGGGCGCGUAGGCGGUUGGAUAAGUCAGCUGUGAAAACCACGAGCUUAACUCGUGGCCUGCAGUUGAGACUGUCUGGCUUGAGUGUGGGAGAGGAGAGUGGAAUUCCUGGUGUAGCGGUGAAAUGCGUAGAUAUCAGGAGGAACACCGGUGGCGAAGGCGGCUCUCUGGACCACAACUGACGCUGAGGCGCGAAAGCUAGGGGAGCAAACAGG